rnacentral:rRNA from 1 species
UGCCAAGAAAAGCCUCUAGCGAGCGCAUACAUGGCCCGUACCCCAAACCAACACAGGUGGUCAGGUAGAGAAUACCAAGGCGUACGAGAUAACUAUGGUUAAGGAACUCGGCAAAAUGCCCCCGUAACUUCGGGAGAAGGGGGGCCGGCUUACCGUGAACAGCCUUGCGCUGGGAGCGGGAACCGGCCGCAGAAACCAGUGGGAAGCGACUGUUUACUAAAAACACAGGUCCGUGCGAAGUCGCAAGACGAUGUAUACGGACUGACGCCUGCCCGGUGCUGGAAGGUUAAGAGGACCCGUUAACUCGUAAGGGUGAAGCGGAGAAUUUAAGCCCCAGUAAACGGCGGUGGUAACUAUAACCAUCCUAAGGUAGCGAAAUUCCUUGUCGGGUAAGUUCCGACCUGCACGAAUGGCGUAACGACUUCCCAACUGUCUCAACCAUAGACUCGGCGAAAUUGCACUACGAGUAAAGAUGCUCGUUACGCGCGGCAGGACGAAAAGACCCCGGGACCUUCACUACAACUUGGUAUUGGUGUUCGGUACUGUUUGUGUAGGAUAGGUGGGAGACUGUGAAACUCUAACGCCAGUUAGAGCGGAGUCGUUGUUGAAAUACCACUCUGACCGUAUUGGACACCUAACUUCGAACCCUUAUCGGGUUCAGGGACAGUGCCUGGCGGGUAGUUUAACUGGGGCGGUUGCCUCCUAAAAUGUAACGGAGGCGCCCAAAGGUUCCCUCAACCUGGACGGCAAUCAGGGUGACGA